CUUUUUAUGUUGUCGGGCCUGAGGUAUGAUAGAUUUUGGUAAGUUAUUGAUGAUCCAAGGUUAUGUUCCUUCAGUUUCACAAGUGGCCAGUGUUUCUAGGAGGUUUGAAACACUAUGAUAUCAUCUUGUGUUGUUGGUACGGGCCAUGAGAGCAGUACCAAAUCGAGGCAAACUUUGAAUACUAUAUUGCCCCAAUAAAAGGGGUAAAGGUCAGCCAGUGAGACGAUGGGGGAUACGCUUCAUCGUCGAGAGGGAAACAGUCCAGAUCAUCAGCUAAUGCCCCUAAAUGAACGCUCAGUGAUGAAAGAAGUAUGAGUGCAAAGACAGCCAAGAGGUUUUCCUAGAAGCAACCGACCUUGAAAGAGUGCGUAAUAUCUCACUGAUCGAGUGCUCUUGCGCCAAAGAUGAAUGGGACUAAGCGAUCUGUCAAAGCUGUGGGAUGUAAAAAUACUUCCGUAGGGGAGUGUUCUUCCUCAGAGGGAAGCACCGACGUGAGCAGGUGUGGACAAAGAAGAAGUGAGAAUGUUGGCUUCAGUAAUGCAAACAUUGGUGAGAUUCCAAUGCCCCGAAAACCUAAGGGUUCCUCCACAAGGUUCGUCCAAGGAGGGUGAGUCAGGGCCUAAUAUCAGGCCAAAAUGCGUAGUCGAUGGAAAACAGGUUAAUAUUCCUUU
rnacentral:ncRNA from 1 species